UUAAAUACUGAAUUGGGUCCCAUUAGGACCUGCAGGACAACUUCCACGAAUAAUAUAAUAAUAUAAUAAUAAUAAUA